rnacentral:snRNA from 1 species
AUACUUACCUGGCAUAGAACUCAACUUUGGUCUAGCUGAAGUUGGCCCAGGUUGAGGCUUUAACAUUGCACUGCGUUUCGGCUGACACUUGCAAUUGUCCCAAAUUGGGAUCAGUGUUGCCAACUUAGCGGAUUUCCCGCCAUAUUUGGCGGAU